rnacentral:rRNA from 1 species
UACGAGGGGGGCAAAUGUUGUUCGGAAUCACUGGGCGUAAAGCGCACGUAGGCGGAUUGCUAAGUCAGGGGUGAAAUCCUGGAGCUCAACUCCAGAACUGCCUUUGAUACUGGUGAUCUUGAGUCCGGGAGAGGUGAGUGGAACUGCGAGUGUAGAGGUGAAAUGCGUAGAGAUCAGGAGGAACACCCAUGGCGAAGGCAGCUCUCUGGUCGACCUCUGACGCUGAGACGCGAAAGCGUGGGGAGCGAACGGG